rnacentral:rRNA from 1 species
UACGAAGGGGGCUAGCGUUGUUCGGAAUUACUGGGCGUAAAGGGCGCGCAGGCGGCCCUCCAAGUCAGGCGUGAAAGCCCCGGGCUCAACCCGGGAAUAGCGCUUGAGACUGGGGGGCUUGAGUUCGGGAGAGGAGAGUGGAAUUCCCAGUGUAGAGGUGAAAUUCGUAGAUACUGGGAAGAACACCGGUGGCGAAGGCGGCUCUCUGGACCGACACUGACGCUGAGGCGCGAAAGCGUGGGGAGCAAACAGG